CUUUCAGUGGUGUAAGAUGGCAAUGAGUUGUGAUUGGGAGUCUCAAGCUUAUUAUCCCUACUAUUGGGAAGAUAAAUGAAAGGUCAGGAUACUUUCCCUUUGAGAAUUAUCUAAUUGUGCCCUUGGGACUUGGCUGUGGUCUGGUGUCAGACCUUCCUUGCAUGGGGACAGAGGUAAGGUAGGGAAUAUUAUCUUAGAUUAAUCAGAUAUUUUUUCAGACAUCUGGAAACUGUACAUAUUAUAAUUCAGUGCUUCUUGGACUUUUUUGAAUAGACAAAAAAGGGGACCAUAAAAUAAUUCUGAUUCUUUUAUGUAUGUUGGAGCCUUGAAACUCAUGUCACUUUGCCUCUAACACCAUCCAAGUGAACCCAACCUGAGAAGGAGGACAUCUCUGAUUUGAGAGGACUUUGAAGAUUGAAGAACACGAGAUUUGAAAUGCAAUUGAACUGGGUCUGAAUUCCCUCAUUCCUCAGAUGUGUGAUCUUGGGGCAUGAAUAGAGAAGGUGAAACUAAAAGAGUAAUAAAUUAUGCACCACAAAAGCAGG